rnacentral:rRNA from 1 species
UACGUAGGGUGCAAGCGUUAAUCGGAAUUACUGGGCGUAAAGCGUGCGCAGGCGGUGAUGUAAGACAGGUGUGAAAUCCCCGGGCUUAACCUGGGAACUGCAUUUGUGACUGCAUCGCUGGAGUGCGGCAGAGGGGGAUGGAAUUCCGCGUGUAGCAGUGAAAUGCGUAGAUAUGCGGAGGAACACCGAUGGCGAAGGCAAUCCCCUGGGCCUGCACUGACGCUCAUGCACGAAAGCGUGGGGAGCAAACAGGAUUAGAUACCCUGGUAGUCCACGCCCUAAACGAUGUCAACUGGUUGUUGGUCCUUCACUGGAUCAGUAACGAAGCUAACGCGUGAAGUUGACCGCCUGGGGAGUACGGCCGCAAGGUUG